CGGGCUAUAGCGCAGCCUGGUAGCGCGUUCGUCUGGGGGACGAGAGGUCGCAGGUUCGAAUCCUGCUAGCCCGACCA
rnacentral:tRNA from 4 species